rnacentral:rRNA from 1 species
UAGGGAAUCUUCGGCAAUGGACGAAAGUCUGAUCGAGCAACGCCGCGUGAGUGAAGAAGGUUUUCGGAUCGUAAAACUCUGUUGUUAGAGAAGAACAAGGACGUUAGUAACUGAACGUCCCCUGACGGUAUCUAACCAGAAAGCCACGGCUAACUACGUGCCAGCAGCCGCGGUAAUACGUAGGUGGCAAGCGUUGUCCGGAUUUAUUGGGCGUAAAGCGAGCGCAGGCGGUUUCUUAAGUCUGAUGUGAAAGCCCCCGGCUCAACCGGGGAGGGUCAUUGGAAACUGGGAGACUUGAGUGCAGAAGAGGAGAGUGGAAUUCCUGUUGUAGCGGUUAAAUGCGUAGAUAUAUGGAGGAACACCAGUGGUGAAGGCGGCUCUCUGGUCUGUAACUGACGCUGUGGCUCGAAAGCGUGGGGAGCAAACAGG